ACACAGGCAGAGAGCGCUGAAUGCUAGAAGCGGGCAAUACCUUGACUGUGUAGCCUAGCAGCCUGUGUUGCGGUACGCAGUGUGAAGAUAGGCUGAAUACCGUCAGAAAAAGCUAACUUAUUGGGAAGCCGCGAAUGUAAGGACAGAUCUGCCAGUUCUAGCGCACCUAAGGAUUUAGAAGAAGAGAGCAAGCAUCGCAUCCUAAUCAGGAAGGAACAGAACACAUUCCUCUUAUCCUGAGUUAACUUCAGG